CAAUUGUGUUUGUGUUACAGUUCCAGUACCGACGACGUCAGAAUGGAGAAAUGAUUGCCAAAUAUAAAUCUGAAAAGCUGAACAAUGCUAUCCGAUUAUUCAUUAGCAAGCUCAACCGACAGAGUGUGAGCGUGUCAGCUGGAAGAUAUUUUCAUUUGAAUAUAGGCUUUCUGAUUGCGGUAAUAAGUGGAAUUGCGACAAAUAUGACUUUAAUUAUGGCACUUCCAAUACCAUUAGAUUUAUAAAUGUUC